CCCCGCUCUAUGUUCCUCUCCACUUUGUUAAUUUUCUGGAAUGGAGAUUUUAUAAGAGCGAAAAUAAAAUGUCAUUAGCGGUGCUCAUCUUCGGUUAAUUUUCUCGAUAUGGCUGAUUGGAUAAUGACUACAUUU
ensembl:snoRNA F22D6.16 ncRNA